AUACUAAUUUAUGAGUUUUGGUUUGUUCCUAUGCGUGAGAAAAAUAAAGAAGACAAAUUAAAAAGAUGUUGAGGAAUUGUCAUCGUCAACUUUGAGGAUCCGUAUACAUUAUUUUGUCAAAAGAAUUCUGAGGAUGCGGCGGCGGGUUGAUAGGAUUCUGGACGUGAUCGUGGAGGAGCACCGCCGCAAGAAGAGCGGCGAGUUCGGCGGCGAAGAUAUCGUCGAUGUUAUGCUCAGGAUGCAGGAAAAUGAAGAGCUCCAUUUCCCUACUACUGAUCUCAACAUCAAAGCCAUCAUUUUCGUAAUCCCGAGUUGAGUUUAGAUUUUUAAACUCAACUCGGGAUUUCGGUAUUAGGAAAGACCAACUCGGGAUUUUAGUGCGUGUUUUGGCCUAGUGUUAGAUGAUUAAUGUGCAAGUUUUGAGCAUCUGGGUUCGAGUUCAUCGUCGCGCGAUCUAUUUAUUUCUUUCUUUACUUGUGUAAUUUAUUAAAAGAAAUGAAGUGAACUUAUUGGAUCUACUAAUUAAUCUGUCA